rnacentral:misc_RNA from 1 species
AAGUCGUAACAAGGUUUCCGUAGGUGAACCUGCGGAAGGAUCAUUAACACGUAUCCAACGUUAAACAACCCUGUGAACCUUGAACGUGCUCCUGCAGCCCCAUGAAAUCAGCAAUCCCUGGUAAAUCAUUGUUGACCAGCUUUUGAGUCAGGGACCUCUGCCGAAACGGCUGUUCAGUACCGAGCGCGGACAGUGUCUGAAAGUGUCAUUGAUUGUGUAAGGAUGGCGCAGUAAACGAUUGCUAGAGGCCCACACGGCCGGCAACCGGGUCCCAGGGCUCACGCCCCUUUAUCACCCCACAGUUUCCGACUGGGCAGCCGAUAAUACGGACGCCGUAAAAAACUGAACAACUGCAUUAACAAUGGAUAUCUUGGUUCUC